rnacentral:rRNA from 1 species
UACGUAGGGUGCGAGCGUUGUCCGGAAUUAUUGGGCGUAAAGAGCUUGUAGGCGGUCUGUCGCGUCUGCUGUGAAAAUCCGGGGCUCAACCCCGGACUUGCAGGGGGUACGGGCAGACUAGAGUGUGGUAGGGGAGACUGGAAUUCCUGGUGUAGCGGUGAAAUGCGCAGAUAUCAGGAGGAACACCGAUGGCGAAGGCAGGUCUCUGGGCCACUACUGACGCUGAGGAGCGAAAGCGUGGGGAGCGAACAGG